rnacentral:rRNA from 1 species
CAGUCGCCGCGGUAAUACGGAGGGUGCGAGCGUUAAUCGGAAUUACUGGGCGUAAAGCGUACGCAGGCGGUUUGUUAAGUCAGAUGUGAAAUCCCCGGGCUUAACCCGGGAACUGCAUUUGUGACUGCAUGGCUAGAGUCUCGUAGAGGGGGGUAGAAUUCCAGGUGUAGCGGUGAAAUGCGUAGAGAUCUGGAGGAAUACCGGUGGCGAAGGCGGCCCCCUGGACGAAGACUGACGCUCAGGUACGAAAGCGUGGGGAGCAAACAGGAUUAGAUACCCGCGUAGUCCCUGUCUCUUAUAC